UCUCCCCUGCUUUUUUCUCCUUUUUCCCUCCCCUCAAGGAAUGGCGCUCCCUCUACCUGUUCCUCAGGCCCCCUCCUCCCUUCUCUUUCGUCCACUGGGAGGGGAAACUGGGGUGUGGUGGUGAUGGGAACUGAAGGGAUGAUGGGGUCUGAGGGUACACAUGGGCGGAGGAGUCGAGUUUGAGGGUUGCGGAUGGGGGCCGACAGGGAGAGCAGAGGAGACUGAACAGGGAGAGAGGAUUCCGAGCUGAGGAACGAAGGGGAAACUGAGAGGGCAAAAGGAUGACAGAAAGAAAGGAAGGUUGAGGAGAGAAGGAAGGCAGGGGAAGAGAGAGAGGGUUAAGGAGCUAAAUGGGGGGUUGGGUAAUUUGUCCAAUAUCCGAGAAGAAAGAAGGAGAGAUGAAGAGAAAGGACGUAUUUGAGGGGCCACACGGGCUGAAGCAGGGAGAUCCGGGCACCGAGAGAGGGACUUUUCAAACCUCACUAUCCAGACUGAGUAAGAGACGGAAAUUUCCUUUUCACACAAUGGCUCUGAAAAGGAAAAGCAUUCGAGAAGCAAAGACAGAGAAAGGCGCAACAGGGAGGUGAGAGAGAGGGAGAAGCAGGAAAGGACAACUGGAAGGUAAUAGCAAAGAAAAGAGAGAGGGAAAGCGACAGAAAACUAAUGGGGAAGACCAGGAGGAAGGUAGGUUUUUGGUUUUUUGUUUGUUUUUAGGGGAGGGAGGAAAAGUGCAGUGAGAGAAGACUCCUCCCCAAAGGAAAUAUUGACAGAAAGGCUCCUCCUCCUGCCCUAUGAAGACCCAUUGGCGUCUGCAAGGGGACAGACGAGUCAGGCGCCUCCCCCAGGAGAUAUUCUGCUUCCUCAAGGCCGCAGUCCAUUUUAUGAGCGGCAGACGUGACUGAGGAGACCCUUCAAACUGCAGUGGAGAAGAGACUCCCCACACUCCCCCCUCCUUAAAAAUCCUGCAGAGGAAGGGGGAAAGAAAACCAAAGCAUUCUGUCGCCACGGCAACCAUAAAACCCCCAGCUAAAUCCAUCUUGUGAGCUCACUGCCCCAUUAAGAUGCAGGGCCAGGCGCUGCGCCAGCCCAGCCACAUUCAUUUGUGCGAAUAAAGGUGGAGGAGGGGGAGGGGAGCAGGCUCUGGAGGGACGGGGAAAUGGCGAGAAGAGGUUAUUUACACCACUGUCCUGACCUUCUGGAGCAGCGCUAGCUCCGAUAAAUAACCCGCUCAGCGCCGUUUCAGAGCAAGAGUGGGAGGUGCAGGAAGGGAGCAAGGGCUGGAGGAGAGCCCCCACGCAGGUGCGCGUCUCUGGGUUACUAAUGGCUAAGGCGGGAGCAGGCAGCUGGCUUUGGGGGUGGUGGGGGAAGAACUCAGUUCCCUGGGACUCCCACUGAGAAAAUACCAUCCCCACCCCACCCCUGGCGCCAAUUUCCAGGCGAGGGGACGGAGAGAUGCCAAGGAGGCAAACAGCCCCGUAAAUUAGGGAUGGGGGGGCACUACUAGAGAGUCUCUGAGGUAGGAGGGAAGAAAUAUUAUAAGAUGGGGAAUGAGGGGGGGCUGGAGGAACAGGAGUAGCUGCCAAAAAGAGAGGAAGAGAAACAGAAACAUCACACAAAGGCAGUUUGGAAAAAAACGUUUUAUUCCUCUUUGCACAGAGCAGUUUAUGAAGGUGGCUAUCUCCUGACUCCAUGCAUCUUUUACACAAAGAUGCCCCCUUAAAUAUGCCCAGUUAUCUGCCCCACUUCAGUGCUGGAGAACUGGCAGUUAGUAAGUGGAGCAAAAUGCUUAAGUCUCAGGAAGGUUUUUAAAGGCAUUUUUGUGGGGAGGAAGUUCUGAGUCAAGGGGAAAGAUUAGACCCAAGAGUGAGUAUUCCAUUCUCCAUCUUCCUGGGGAAAUCCAAAUCCCAAAGGUUUUAUGAAGAAAAGCACCUCUCUCAGCGACCUAGAGACAGGGAGAGCACAGACCUACUGCUUGGGUGUAAGGCUGAGGCAGAGAGAGGGUAGGUUGCAGCGACUGCAGACCCACGGCAGAGGAGUAAAUGCAUGUCGGGGAGCUGAGGGGACAGAGACAGCCUAGAGGCCCAAGUCAUAAGUUCCACUCCUUCCCCAGUUCUGAGUAGAAACUUUUCUUCCCAAGACUAGAAUGGAGUUUUAGUUUUAGGAACUGGCUUUGCUCCAGGACACAGAAAAGACAAACCAGGCAAAGAUCCCACAGGCAAAGAUCCCAGGGUGGAGAGUUAAGGUAGCUAACUAAGAGAUGGACACUCACCACGGCAGUUUUGAAGCUAUAUGCCAGAUCAGGGUACAGAAUGCAUUUUAUAUGUCCUAUUCAAUACAAUUUAAAUCACUGUUUCUUCCAUGUUGUCCCUUCCCUAUGAGCUAUUCCCAAUGCCUCUUCCAAGGCAGAGGACAGGGCAGUAAGAAGGAAUGGAAGAAAACAUUGAGGUCACUAAGUGGAGCUAGGGCUUAGAUUGGAUAAAUCCCUACCCAUCCCCACCCCUACUUGUUCUAUAGAAAAGAAUUCUCUUUCUCCCUCCCCUUGCUGGGCUGUCGGGAUGAGGGCCAGGUAAAGGCAAAGGGAGGAAAACACUCAGCACAUUCUUUCUCCUACUUUAAUCUGAAGUGUAGCUACAGCAAAGGGCACAGAAUUUACAAAAAUGUCAGGGCAGGGGAGCAUGUGAGCAUAAUCCAGUCUAGAAAGAAAGAGGGUGCUUCCCCUGCCCUAUUAUCUAAAUAUGCUGGGAGCUUUACUCCCAGAACUGCAAGAAGAAUGAAAAAGAAUAGGAAGGGUGUAGGGGAGGUUGGGGGGGCAACCACAAACAGAAUGGAGAUUUAAGGAUCCCUGUGAUCCCCGAGAUGACCCUGAGAGCAUCGAUUGGGGAACUAGAUGAAAAUUCACAGCAGACAUGUAAAUUUUUUGAAGAGGAUGAAGAGCCAGGAACAGUGAGGUCUUCACCGAAGGAGUGACCACUUGAUCUGUUCUUUGGCUGACUGCAGCACCUG